GAAAACCCUAGAAUAAAUAAGUGUAUAGCCACUUACCUUUGUCUCCCACUUUUUCCACCACUUUUACCUUCUUCUUCCUCAUUCCAUAUGGAGAACAAAAGGAGCAGCUGCAAAUUCACCAAUGGAGACUCUUUGGGCAUGGAUUUUCAUCAUUUGAAGAGUUCUUCAUUUGAGUUGUUUUUCUUCUCCUUUAUUAAUCUCAUACUUUCUUUGUUUUAUUUUGAGAUUUCUUUUAUAAAUACCAUCAUUAGUGAGUAGAUUUUUAGAUUUUAGAGAUUGGGUAUGUAAUACUCUAUUUUAAUCUUGAAUUUGAACUAAUUUCUACUAAUGGAUUUAAGUUAAUUUCUAAUUUUGAGUUGGAUAUUUGAUAUUUAUUCUUUUCCUUGUGAUUUAAUCUAUUGCUUUGUGUUUGGCCAACCAAAGUAUUGUUUUAAUCAUUAAUUGAUGUACUGAAAGAUGAAGAUUAAUGGUAGAAAAUAUAGGAUUAGAACUUAUAUUCUUAGAUUCAAGAAAUUGACUAAGGACAUGAGAGGGUUUCAAAAUUAAUUAAAGGACUUAAUGUGUUUUUAUUAUAUCAAGAGCCAGGAAGGUAGGAAUUGAUUUAAUUAAGACACAACCUUGAUAUCUUAAAAGAGAAUUAAGGUAAUUUUAGAAUUAAUUUCUUCAAGCCAUUGAAUACCUACGAAUAGAUAGAAAUUGAGGAAAAUCCAAAUUAAUUAGAGUGUGAAUCCUAAAUCUCUGAAAUCGCCUUUCUAUUUUUAUUUUUAGUCUUAAUUAAUAGCUAAUUUUAGUUAAUUUUGAGUUAAUUUACCAUUGUUUAAUUUAAUUGCUUUCAAUUACUAGUUGAUUUCUUUUGCUAAGUACAGAAUUAAUUAGUUUAAUUGCCAUCUUCUUAUUAAUUUGUGAUUAAUUUGUUGUAUAUUUUACUUUUAUUAGUUAAUUUUAGCAUCAAAUUGAUUAGUCCGAACAAUUACUAUAACUAUAAUCUAGUACUUAAACACUAAUUCUCUGUGGGAAUGAUACUCUACUCUAUCAUUAUAUUAUUUGUGUCACCCGUAUACUUGCAGUAUCACAACAAUGUCCUUAGCACUAUAGAUAUAUUAUGUACAAGAGAAAGUUCUGAGGAGCACCCGUUGUAGGCCAGGCACUAUUAGAUUUUAUGGAGGGUUACUAGUGACAAAUCCAUCUUGUUGUGUUUUGUUUGUGCCAUGAUGCAUACAUAUGUAUAUAUGUUUAUUUAACCUUUUUAUGUCAUGUUUCUACUCAUUAGGCCAUAGUAGCUUAUCCCUUUCCCCUAACCCCAUAUUUGCAGGAUCAUAGUUAGCGUGAGAGUUCCACAAAUUUCUUGGACAUAGUUCUUUGCGUAAUAGCUUAGUUGUGGACAUGUAAUAUUAUUAUGGUUAGUAUAUUGCUUUGCCCAGUUUUCCUUUUAUGAUCCUCUUAUCAAUGAUCAUAGUUCUUCGUAUGUAAAGUUUAAAUUUCAUGUUACAUUUGAAUCAAAUUGUGGUAUGUAAUGAUGAUUAUACUGGAGUAUUUGAUGAGAGCUCUAGUAUAAGUUUAUAUUUAUAGUUAUGGAUAUA
rnacentral:lncRNA from 1 species